GCGCGAAAACUUUACAAUGCGGGAAACCGUGAUAAGGGAACCUCGAGUGCCUGUAUAUGCAGGCUGUCCAGGUGUCUAAAAAACACCUGAAGAAAGGGCCGGGCAAGACCGGUGCCAGCCGCCGCGGUAAUACCGGCGGCUCGAGUGGUGGCCACUUUUAUUGGGCUUAAAGCGUUCGUAGCUGGGUUGUUAAGUCUCUUGGGAAAUCUGACGGCUCAACCGUCAGGCGUCCAAGGGAUACUGGCAAUCUUGGAACCGGGAGAGGUGAGGGGUACUUCGGGGGUAGGAGUGAAAUCCUGUAAUCCUCGAGGGACCACCUGUGGCGAAGGCGCCUCACCAGAACGGCUUCGACAGUGAGGGACGAAAGCUGGGGGAGCAAACCGG
rnacentral:rRNA from 1 species